rnacentral:rRNA from 1 species
CCUAGUUGAUCCUGCCAGUAGUCAUAUGCUUAUCUCAAAGAUUAAACCAUGCAUGUGUAAGUAUGAACUAAUUCAUACUGUGAAACUAUAAAUGACUCAUUAAAUCAGUUAUACUUUGUUUGAUGCUAUCUGCUACUCAGAUAACCAUAGUAAUUCUAGAGCUAAUACGUGAAACAAACCCUAACGUCUGGAAGGGAUGUAUUUAUUAGAUAACAGAUCGAUGUAGGCUCUGCUCGUUGCUUUGAUGAUUCAUGAUAACUUGACGGAUCACACGACCAUCGUGCCGGUGAUGCAUCAUUCAAAUUUCUACCCUAACAAAUUUUGAUGGUAUGAUAGUGGCCUACUAUGGUGGUGAGGGGUGACAGAGAAUUAGGGUUUGAUUCUGGAUAGGGAGCCUGAGAAAUGGCUACCACAUCCAAGGAAUACUGGGCUCUUAGAGUCUGGUGAUGAGAAUGAGUACAAUCUAAAUUCCUUAACCAGGAUCCAUUGGAGGGCAAGUCGUGUGCCAAUAGCAGCGGUAAUUCAGCUCCAAAAGCAUAUGCUUAGGUUGCUACGUUAAAAAGCUCGUAGUUGAAGCUUGGGUUGGGUCAAUUGGUCCACCUAUGGUGUGCACCAGUUGGCUCGUCCCUUUGUCCGGUGAUGCGGUCCUGACCUUAAAUGUCCUGGUCAUGCCUCCGGUGCUAUUACUUUGAAGAAAUUAGAGUGCUCAAAGUAAGUCUACGCUUUGUAUACAUUAGCAUGGGAAAACAUCAUAGGAUUUUUGUCCUAUUCUAUUGGCCUUCAGGAUCAAAGUAAUGAUUAAUAAGGACAAUCUAGGUUUGUAUUUCAUAGUCAGAGGUGAAAUUCUUAGAUUUAUGAAAGAUGAACAAUUGCGAAAGCAUUAGCCAAAAAUGUUUUCAUUAAUCAAGAAUGAAAGUUGGGGGCUCAAAGACGAUCAGAUACUGUCCUAGUCUCAACCAUAAAUGAUGCCGACCAGGGAUCUGAAGAUGUUACUUUUAGGACACCACUGACACCUUAUGAGAAAUCAAAGUCUUUGGGUUCCGAGGGGAGUAUGGUCGCAAUUCUAAAACUUAAAAAGGAAAUGAUGGAAGGGCACCACCAGGAGUGGAGCCUGCGACUAAAUUUGACUCAACACGGGGAAACUUACCACGUCCAAAUAUAGUAAGGAUUGAUAGACUAAGAGUUCUUUCUUGAUUCUGGUGGUGAUGCAUUGAUGUUCUUAGUUGGUGGAGCGAUUUUUCUGGUAAAUUUCGUUAACAAACGAGACAUCAUCCUACUAACUAGCUAUGUAAAGGUGACCCUCCAUGGACAACUUCUUAGAGGGACUAUGACCGGUUAGGCCAAUGAAUUUUAAGGAAAUAACAAGUCUGUGAUGCCCUUAGAUGUUUUGGGCCGCACGCGUGCUACACUGAUAUAUUCAACGAGUAUAUAACCUUGGCCGAUAGGCCUGAGAAAUCUUUAAAAUUUUAACGUGAUGGGGAUAGAUCAUUACAAUUGUUGGUUUUCAAUGAGGAAUGCCUAGUAAGCGCAAGCCAUCAACUCACAUCCAUGAAGAACAUACUAAAAUAUGAUUUUUGAUGUGAAUGCAGAAUCCCGUGAACCAUCGAGUCUUUGAAUGCAAGUUAAGCCCCAAGCCUUCUAGCUGGGGGCACGUCUCCCUGGGCGUCAC